GCAAGUCGAACGGCAGCGCGGGAGCAAUCCUGGCGGCGAGUGGCGAACGGGUGAGUAAUAUAUCGGAACGUGCCCAGUAGUGGGGGAUAGCCCGGCGAAAGCCGGAUUAAUACCGCAUACGACCUGAGGGUGAAAGCGGGGGAUCGCAAGACCUCGCGCUACUGGAGCGGCCGAUAUCAGAUUAGCUAGUUGGUGGGGUAAAGGCCUACCAAGGCAACGAUCUGUAGUUGGUCUGAGAGGACGACCAGCCACACUGGGACUGAGACACGGCCCAGACUCCUACGGGAGGCAGCAGUGGGGAAUUUUGGACAAUGGGCACAAGCCUGAUCCAGCAAUGCCGCGUGCAGGAAGAAGGCCUUCGGGUUGUAAACUGCUUUUGUCAGGGAAGAAAUCUUCUGGGCUAAUACCCCGGGAGGAUGACGGUACCUGAAGAAUAAGCACCGGCUAACUACGUGCCAGCAGCCGCGGUAAUACGUAGGGUGCGAGCGUUAAUCGGAAUUACUGGGCGUAAAGCGUGCGCAGGCGGCUUUGCAAGACAGAGGUGAAAUCCCCGGGCUUAACCUGGGAACUGCCUUUGUGACUGCAAGGCUAGAGUACGGCAGAGGGGGAUGGAAUUCCGCGUGUAGCAGUGAAAUGCGUAGAUAUGCGGAGGAACACCGAUGGCGAAGGCAAUCCCCUGGGCCUGUACUGACGCUCAUGCACGAAAGCGUGGGGAGCAAAC
rnacentral:rRNA from 1 species